rnacentral:misc_RNA from 1 species
GAUGAAGAACGUAGCGAAAUGCGAUAAGUAAUGUGAAUUGCAGAAUUUAGUGAAUCAUCGAAUCUUUGAACGCAUAUUGCGCCCGCCAGCACUCUGGCGGGCAUGCCUGUUCGAGCGUCAUUUCAACCCUCAGGCCUCGCGUCUGGCGUUGGGGCGCUGCGGCCCUCCCGCAGGCCCCCAAAUUUAGCGGCGGAUUCCCCGCGGCCCUGAGCGCAGUAGAGAGUAAAAACUUUAACGCUCCGGCGGCCGUGGCGCGGUUCUGCCUCUUUCCCAAUAGCGCCAAUAGCGCCACCCCCAAAAAAGUUGACCUCGGAUCAGGUAGGACUACCCGCUGAACUUAAGCGUAUCAAUAAGCGGAGGA